rnacentral:rRNA from 1 species
CWWMMMCMAUGSCAAGUCGAACGGUAGCACAGAGGAGCYUGCUCCUUGGGUGACGAGUGGCGGACGSSUKAKUAAUGUCUGGGAAACUGCCCGAUGGAGGGGGAUAACUACUGGAAACGGUAGCUAAUACCGCAUAACGUCGCAAGACCAAAGAGGGGGACCUUCGGGCCUCUUGCCAUCGGAUGUGCCCAGAUGGGAUUAGCUAGUAGGUGGGGUAACGGCUCACCUAGGCGACGAUCCCUAGCUGGUCUGAGAGGAUGACCAGCCACACUGGAACUGAGACACGGUCCAGACUCCUACGGGAGGCAGCAGUGGGGAAUAUUGCACAAUGGGCGCAAGCCUGAUGCAGCCAUGCCGCGUGUAUGAAGAAGGCCUUCGGGUUGUAAAGUACUUUCAGCGAGGAGGAAGGUGUUGUGGUUAAUAACCRCAGCAAUUGACGUUACUCGCAGAAGAAGCACCGGCUAACUCCGUGCCAGCAGCCGCGGUAAUACGGAGGGUGCAAGCGUUAAUCGGAAUUACUGGGCGUAAAGCGCACGCAGGCGGUCUGUCAAGUCGGAUGUGAAAUCCCCGGGCUCAACCUGGGAACUGCAUCCGAAACUGGCAGGCUAGAGUCUUGUARAGGGGGGUAGAAUUCCAGGUGUAGCGGUGAAAUGCGUAGAGAUCUGGAGRAAUACCGGUGGCGAAGGCGGCCCCCUGGACAAAGACUGACGCUCASGUGCGAAAGCGUGKGGAGCAAACAGGAUUAGAUACCCUGGUAGUCCACGCCGUAACGAUGUCGACUUGGAGGUUGUGCCCUUGAGGCGUGGCUUCCGGAGCUAACGCKUUAAGUCGACCGCCUGGGGAGUACGGCCGCAAGGUUAAAACUC